GUGGCGAACGGGUGAGUAACACGUGAGUAACCUGCCCUUGACUCUGGGAUAAGCCUGGGAAACUGGGUCUAAUACCGGAUAUGACCGACUAUCGCAUGGUGGUUGGUGGAAAGCUUUUGUGGUUUUGGAUGGACUCGCGGCCUAUCAGCUUGUUGGUGGGGUAAUGGCCUACCAAGGCGACGACGGGUAGCCGGCCUGAGAGGGUGACCGGCCACACUGGGACUGAGACACGGCCCAGACUCCUACGGGAGGCAGCAGUGGGGAAUAUUGCACAAUGGGCGCAAGCCUGAUGCAGCGACGCCGCGUGAGGGAUGACGGCCUUCGGGUUGUAAACCUCUUUCAGUAGGGAAGAAGCCGCGAGGUGACGGUACCUGCAGAAGAAGCGCCGGCUAACUACGUGCCAGCAGCCGCGGUAAUACGUAGGGCGCAAGCGUUAUCCGGAAUUAUUGGGCGUAAAGAGCUCGUAGGCGGUUUGUCGCGUCUGCCGUGAAAGUCCGGGGCUCAACUCCGGAUCUGCGGUGGGUACGGGCAGACUAGAGUGA
rnacentral:rRNA from 1 species